rnacentral:rRNA from 1 species
UUUUUAAUCUAUAUAGAAAUAUAAAUAUUUUACUUUCAUAAAUAUAGAGAAAUCAAUAUAAUUCAAUGGUUUUGAAGUGUAUGAUCCACACAUGACCGUUGGGGUGAGUGAUUUCAAUGUAAACAAUACUUUGCAUAUGGGUUAGCUAAUCCUAUGGGACAGUGUAAGUCUGCCCGAGAGCGUGUCUUUGCACGAGCUCCAAAAUAGAAUCAGGUUAAAGUUCAUGAGCCAGAAUGCCAGGUAACUACGGUGCGUUGGCUAGAAAGGAAAGUGUCGAUCGAGUUCGAAAAUAACAAAUAAGAAUUCCACAGUAGGCUAUUCAAUUAGGCUUAGAAGUAGAUAAGGUUAAUAGGAAUCAUAGGUGUGUUGGCUAUCGAGUAAGGGGUAAAUGAUAAAUAAUAAUUAGAGGUUCAAGUAAUAGUUCCGGGUUGCCCGGUUAAAGAGGUUCGGUGCGGCGGGACCCUAGAGCGGUUUCGAUGCUNGGUUUCGGAUGCUAAUAAGGCAAGUACGAGUCGGUGUCCAACAUGCAUAGUCGGUGUCCAAGAUCAAAGGGAGAGCAGUGUCCAAUGCAACGGCAGAAAACAAUGUUAGGAAGUCCAGAGUUACUGAUAAGGGCCCCAAGAAGAGCUAUCUUUUUUAUGCUUAAUGACCUGCCCACCUUGGAAACGGCUAAAUCGAAGGUAGCGUCAAGUGAUCAAAAGAGCAUCGUAGUCACGUGGCAUUCGAUGCACCCCUGGCGACCUUUGAAAAUCUGAAAGACUGAGUCUCGCUCGUGCUAGGUCAUACUCAUAAUUGCAUCAAGCCUCCAAGGUGGACAACCUCUGGCCUAUAGAACAAUGUAGGCAAGGGAAGUCGGCAAAACAUAUCUACAACUUCAAGAAAAUGAUUGCUCUAAAGGUUGGGCAUGAGGAUCUUGGCCUCGAACCUAUCGGUUGUUGACGAAUUGCUGGAGCUACUCCGACGACGAUAGUGGGUCGUCAUGUGCCCGUCGGGGUACAAACUAGGAACGACCACAUUGGGGGCCUUCCCUGUGCGUCGAAUAGCCACUUCGAAAUUGGUAUGGACAAAGGGAAUUUAAUUAUUUAAUUAAAAUAAAGCAUUGUGAUGGUCCCCAUAGAUGCUCACAUAAUGUGAUUUUUGCCCAGUGCUCUAAAUGUCAAAGUGAAUAAAUUCAACCAAACGCGAGUAAAUGACAAGAGUAACUAUGACUCUCUUAUGAUAGCCAAAUGUCUCGUCAUCUAAUUAGUGACAUAUAUGAAUGGAUUAACGAGAUUCCUAUUAUCCCUGUCUAUUAUCCAACGAAACCACAACUAAAGGAACAUGCUUGGCAAAAUUACUGACGAAAGAAGACCUUGUUGAGCUUGACUCUAGUCCGACUUUGUGAAAUGACUUAAGAGGUAUAUGAUAAGUGGGAGUCGAUUUAUCAACAUAAGUGAAAUAUCCCUACUAUUAAUGUUAUUUUACUUAUUCCUUGAGAUGGAGGCAAAGGCCCAGCCCCUCCUUGUGGACCCAAGACCUACCUAGCCAAUCGAUCCAGGGCGAAGACAUUGUUAGGUGAGGAGAUUGGUUGGGGCGACAUAUUUGUUAAAAGAUAACACUGAUAUCUUAAGAUGAGUUCAACGAGAAUAGAAUCUAGUGUGGAACAGAAGGGUAAAAGCUCAUUUGAUUUUGAUUUUUAGUAUGAAUACGAACCAUGAAUAUGUGACUUAUAGAUCCUUUAGACCUUCAGAAUUUGAAGUUAGAGGUGUCAAAAAAGUUACCACUAGGAUAACUGGCUUGUGGCAACCAAGCGUUAAUAGUAACAUUCUUUUUUGAUCCUUCAAUGUUCACCCAUCGAUAGGGAACGUGAGCUCGAUUUAGAUCGUCAUGAGAUAUGCUAGUUUUACCCUAAUGAUGACAAUGCCACAAUAGUAAUUCAACCUAGUAUGGGAGGAAUCGUUGAUUCACACGAUUGGUCAUUAUACUUGGUUGAAAAGCUAGUGACGCGAAACUAUCGUAUGUCAGAUUAUGACUGAAUAUCUCUAGAUUAGAAUUUUAGCUAGCAAUCGACGCUCUCGCUCGUCGUUUGCCUCUAAAUCCACGAUAGAGGCCUUUAACCCCCAUGAGCUAGUGUCUCUAGUAUAGCCCCCAUGGUGAUAUGACUAUGGGGGUCACUAAUUCUACACGGACGAUAAGCUGAAUCCUUUGCAAACUACUUAAAUAGACAACAAUUGU